ACUCUUGCUCCACAUCGUUUAAAGGAAGGGAGGAAGGACGGACAUGAUGCAGUCAAAUGCUCCACUCAGGUGCGUUCGACUUGAACCAUGGCUACAGAUGGCAGUCAACGAGAGUAGCAGUUUGCAGUCGGGGGUGGAGUUGAAAACAGAGCUGUCAAGCCGGACAAUUUUUGCUCUCGCAAAAAUCGUGUGGUCUGCCAUGAAUGACGUUGGUUCAGCACAAUACGGAAAGCAC